rnacentral:rRNA from 1 species
UAAGCAUAUCAAUAAGCGGAGGAAAAGAAACUAACAAGGAUUCCCCUAGUAACUGCGAGUGAAGCGGGAAAAGCUCAAAUUUAAAAUCUGGCGGCUUUUGGCUGUCCGAGUUGUAGUCUGGAGAAGUGCUUUCCGCGCUGGACCGUGUACAAGUCUCUUGGAACAGAGCGUCAUAGAGGGUGAGAAUCCCGUCUUUGACACGGACUACCAGUGCUUUGUGAUGCGCUCUCAAAGAGUCGAGUUGUUUGGGAAUGCAGCUCAAAAUGGGUGGUAAAUUCCAUCUAAAGCUAAAUAUUGGCGAGAGACCGAUAGCGAACAAGUACCGUGAGGGAAAGAUGAAAAGCACUUUGGAAAGAGAGUUAAACAGUACGUGAAAUUGCUGAAAGGGAAACGCUUGAAGUCAGUCGCGUUGACCAGAACUCAGCCUUGCUUUUGCUUGGUGCACUUUCUGGUUGACGGGCCAGCAUCAAUUUUGAUUGUUGGAUAAAGGCUGGGGGAAUGUGGCACCUUCGGGUGUGUUAUAGCCCUCGGUCACAUACAACAGUUGGGAUUGAGGAUCUCAGCACGCCUUUAUGGUCGGGGUUCGCCCACGUUCGUGCUUAGGAUGCUGGCAUAAUGGCUUUAAACGACCCGUCUUGAAACACGGACCAAGGAGUCUAACAUGCCUGCGAGUGUUUGGGUGGAAAACCCGAGCGCGUAAUGAAAGUGAAAGUUGAGAUCCCUGUCAUGGGGAGCAUCGACGCCCGGACCUGACCUUCUGUGACGGCUCCGCGGUAGAGCAUGUAUGUUGGGACCCGAAAGAUGGUGAACUAUGCCUGAAUAGGGUGAAGCCAGAGGAAACUCUGGUGGAGGCUCGUAGCGAUUCUGACGUGCAAAUCGAUCGUCAAAUUUGGGUAUAGGGGCGAAAGACUAAUCGAACCAUCUAGUAGCUGGUUCCUGCCG